rnacentral:piRNA from 1 species
UCAAAAGCGCCAUUAAUGCGACUCGAUGC